UACGGAGGGUGCAAGCGUUCUUCGGAAUCACUGGGCGUAAAGGGCGCGUAGGCGGCGAGAGAAGUCGGGCGUGAAAGCCCGGGGCUCAACCCAGGAACUGCACUCGAAACUGUAUUGCUGGAGUUCGGUAGAGGAGAGUGGAAUACCAAGUGUAGCGGUGAAAUUCGUAGAUAUUGGGUGGAACACCAGUGGCGAAGGCGGCUCUCUGGACCGAAACUGACGCUGAGGCGAGAAAGCGUGGGGAGCAAACAGG
rnacentral:rRNA from 1 species